rnacentral:rRNA from 1 species
AUUGAACGCUGGCGGCAGGCCUAAUACAUGCAAGUCGAGCGGAGCGGCGGACGGGUGGGUAAUGCCUAGGAAUCUGCCUGGUAGUGGGGGAUAACGUCCGGAAACGGGCGCUAAUACCGCAUACUAUCAGAUGAGCCUAGGUCGGAUUAGCUCGUUGGUGGGGUAAAGGCUUACCAAGGCGACGAUCCGUAACUGGUCUGAGAGGAUGAUCCGUCACACUGGAACUGAGACACGGUCCAGACUCCUACGGGAGGCAGCAGUGGGGAAUAUUGGGCAAUGGGCGAAAGCCUGACCGAGCCAUGCCGCGUGUGUGAAGAAGGUCUUCGGAUUGUAAAGCACUUUAAGUUGGGAAGCGUUACCUACAGAGUAAGCAACGGCUAACUACGUGCCAGCAGCCGCGGUAAUAC